rnacentral:rRNA from 1 species
CCUACGGGUGACAGCAGUGAGGAAUAUUGGUCAAUGGACGCAAGUCUGAACCAGCCAAGUAGCGUGCAGGAUGACGGCCCUCCGGGUUGUAAACUGCUUUUAGGUGGGAAUAAAAGGGGGCGCGUGAGCCCCGUAGUGUAUGUACCAUCAGAAAAAGGACCGGCUAAUUCCGUGCCAGCAGCCGCGGUAAUACGGAAGGUCCGGGCGUUAUCCGGAUUUAUGGGGUUGAAAGGGAGCGUAGGCCGGCUUUUAAGUCAGCUGGGCAAGUCCGCGGCUCAACCGUGGAAUUGCAGUUGAAACUGGAGGCCUUGCGUGCACACCGGGAUGCCGGAAUUCCUGGUGUAGCGGU